AUGCUUCGGUUUCUAAUCUAUUCAGUUCCUUCAAUCAUGUUCAAUUUAUACAUAUAGACACCAUCGAAAGGGAAAUUGAAUGUGCUUUCAUCACAAUCACAUGGCUUUGCCUCUUUAUGACCCUUACUUCGCUCCUCAAAACCCACCCAUCAAUAAAAUAGAAAAAGAGAAAAGGGGGACACAGACGUAUUUCCGGUGGCCAUAUCCGGCGGUGAAAUGGACACAUCAAUCACGCGAUUAUCAGCUCCCCUUCUCCUGUUUCCGCUGCUUUCUUGAUAUUCAAGUAACCCUCUGCCUAACGUAUCAACAUCAAUCAACCGACAAAUUAGGGUUUGAAUGAACUGGGGUGAUAAACCACCUCAGUACAUAUUGUUUCGAUUCAGUCUGUUUCCUUGCAAAUUUCAUCCUCUUCAUGGAAAUCUUUACCACUUUUAAAGCAUGCUGACAGGGAAGAGAAAUCUGAUAUAAAGAAAGGAGAUAACAAGGAAAAGCAUGGCUUUUCUGGUGAGUAACUUUCAUUUUAGAAAUGUGAAUCAUUCUGGUUAUACUCCUGGUUAAAGAAAGUAUGAAAUUGUUCUGUUAUACUCCUUGUUAUUUUGCUUAAUAAUGUUGAAUGAUUGAAUGAAUAUGUAAAUGACAAAAUAGAUACUUUUUAACAAGCACUUGGGUUGGACUCGGGUCAAAUUGAGCAGGCAGAUGGUUGAUCUGAUUAGCCUUGUUUAGCAUAUUUCCGGGUACCCAACCAUUUGAAUCCAAACUCGGGUAUCCCAAAAUAGAUAAAUAAAUAUUAGUUAAAUACCUAAAUUGUCAACAUUACCUCAUUACGCGGGUGUUCUACUAUCUUCUUUUCAUGACUAUGGUUUUAAUACGGCUUGGUGGCAAGUCUGGACCAGUAGUCAGAAGUUUCUUGACCGAAGCAUUGCAGACCAGAUGAACUCUUGGGCUUGGUAUUCUCUGGCCAAGUUUUAUAAAGGUGAGUGUUCGAUGUUCAUAAAGGAAGUUUUGGACUGUUAUGCGGCUGCGAGGAAACGAAACCCGUUAAGUCAUUUAGAUGAUAGUGACAAAACAGACGAACCUGCCACAACGCGCAGGCAUUCCUACUAUAUGUGUAUAUAUAUAUAUAUAUAUUAAGACGAGGUGGACAACAAAUUACUAAACCUAUACGAGUAUGAAAGCUUGCGAACACCUGAUAAGUUUGUUGAUUCUGUAUACUACGAGAAUGCACAUCAUUUUCUUCAUGAAGGAAACAUAUUCAGAUUUCAAUGUUCUUCUGGACUUAGUUGUUUAACUAUCCAGCUGAUGGAUGAUUUGAAUGAAAAGGCUGAAGCAGUUGCGGUUUCUGUGGACCCCAAAUUUGCCGCUUA